rnacentral:rRNA from 1 species
CCAGUGGUUGUGGAGUCGUCGUUGAAAUACCACUCUGGUCGUGCUGGAUGUCUAACCUGGGUCCGUGAUCCGGAUCAGGGACAGUGUCUGAUGGGUAGUUUAACUGGGGCGGUUGCCUCCUAAAGAGUAACGGAGGCGCCCAAAGGUUCCCUCAGCCUGGUUGGUAAUCAGGUGUUGAGUGUAAGUGCACAAGGGAGCUUGACUGUGAGACCGACGGGUCGAGCAGGGACGAAAGUCGGGACUAGUGAUCCGGCAGUGGCUUGUGGAAGCGCUGUCGCUCAACGGAUAAAAGGUACCCCGGGGAUAACAGGCUGAUCUUCCCCAAGAGUCCAUAUCGACGGGAUGGUUUGGCACCUCGAUGUCGGCUCGUCGCAUCCUGGGGCUGGAGUCGGUCCCAAGGGUUGGGCUGUUCGCCCAUUAAAGCGGUACGCGAGCUGGGUUUAGAACGUCGUGAGACAGUUCGGUCCCUAUCCGCUGUGCGCGUAGGAAUAUUGAGAAGGGCUGUCCCUAGUACGAGAGGACCGGGACGGACGAACCUCUGGUGUGCCAGUUGUCCUGCCAAGGGCAUGGCUGGUUGGCUACGUUCGGAAAGGAUAACCGCUGAAAGCAUCUAAGCGGGAAGCCUGCUUCGAGAUGAGUAUUCCCACCCCCUUUGAGGGUUAAGGCUCCCAGUAGACGACUGGGUUGAUAGGCCAGAUGUGGAAGCCCGGUAACGGGUGGAGCUGACUGGUACUAAUAGGCCGAGGGCUUGUCCUCAGUUG